UACGUAGGGGGCGAGCGUUACCCGGAUUUACUGGGCGUAAAGCGCGUGUAGGCGGCUGGUCAAGCGUGGUGUGGAAAAUCUCCGGGCUCAACCCGGAAACUGCAUUGCGAACUGACCUAGCUGGAGUGCAGGAGAGGGCAGCGGAAUUCCCGGUGUAGCGGUGGAAUGCGUAGAUAUCGGGAAGAACACCAGUGGCGAAGGCGGCUGCCUGGUCUGUAACUGACGGCUGAGACGGCGAAAGCGUGGGAGCGAACCGGAUAGAUAC
rnacentral:rRNA from 1 species